AACGAACGCUGGCGGCAGGCUUAACACAUGCAAGUCGAGCGCCCCGCAAGGGGAGCGGCAGACGGGUGAGUAACGCGUGGGAAUCUACCGAGCCCUGCGGAAUAGCUCCGGGAAACUGGAAUUAAUACCGCAUACGCCCUACGGGGGAAAGAUUUAUCGGGGUUUGAUGAGCCCGCGUUGGAUUAGCUAGUUGGUGGGGUAAAGGCCUACCAAGGCGACGAUCCAUAGCUGGUCUGAGAGGAUGUUCAGCCACAUUGGGACUGAGACACGGCCCAAACUCCUACGGGAGGCAGCAGUGGGGAAUAUUGGACAAUGGGCGCAAGCCUGAUCCAGCCAUGCCGCGUGAGUGAUGAAGGCCCUAGGGUUGUAAAGCUCUUUCAACGGUGAAGAUAAUGACGGUAACCGUAGAAGAAGCCCCGGCUAACUUCGUGCCAGCAGCAGCCGCCG
rnacentral:rRNA from 1 species